rnacentral:rRNA from 1 species
AACUUGAGAGUUUGAUCCUGGCUCAGAACGAACGCUGGCGGCAUGCCUAACACAUGCAAGUCGAACGAGACCCCAACUUCGGUUGGACGUCUAGUGGCGCACGGGUGCGUAACGCGUGGGAAUCUGCCCUUCGGUUCGGAAUAACUCGGAGAAAUCCGUGCUAAUACCGGAUAAUGACGUAAGUCCAAAGAUUUAUCGCCGAGGGAUGAGCCCGCGUAGGAUUAGCUUGUUGGUGAGGUAAAGGCUCACCAAGGCGACGAUCCUUAGCUGGUCUGAGAGGAUGAUCAGCCACACUGGGACUGAGACACGGCCCAGACUCCUACGGGAGGCAGCAGUGGGGAAUAUUGGACA